rnacentral:rRNA from 1 species
ACAGUGGCGCACGGGUGAGUAACACGUGGAUAAUCUUCCCUCGAGCGGGGGAUAACAUUCCGAAAGGAGUGCUAAUACCGCAUAAGACCACGGACUCGAAAGAGUCUGAGGUCAAAGCCGGCCUCUAUACAUAAGCUGGCACUUGAGGAUGAGUCCGCGGCCCAUCAGCUAGUUGGCGGGGUAAUGGCUCACCAAGGCUUCGAUCGGUAGCCGGCCUGAGAGGGCGGUCGGCCACACUGGCACUGAGACACGGGCCAGACUCCUACGGGAGGCAGCAGUGGGGAAUUUUGGGCAAUGGGCGCAAGCCUGACCCAGCAACGCCGCGUGAAGGACGAAAUCCCUCUGGGAUGUAAACUUCGAAAGUCAGGAAAGAAAUCCUUNGGGGGUAAUAUCUCUAAGGGAUGACGGUACCUGACGUAAGCCCCGGCUAACUACGUGCCAGCAGCCGCGGUAAUACGUAGGGGGCAAGCGUUGUUCGGAAUUACUGGGCGUAAAGGGCGCGUAGGCGGCACGGCAAGUCAGGAGUGAAAGGCCUGGGCUCAACCGAGGAACUGCUUUUGAGACUGCCGAGCUAGAGUGCGGAAGGGGCAACUGGAAUUCCCAGUGUAGCGGUGAAAUGCGUAGAUAUUGGGAAGAACACCUGAGGCGAAGGCGGGUUGCUGGGCCGACACUGACGCUGAGGCGCGAAAGCCAGGGGAGCAAACGGGAUUAGAUACCCCGGUAGUCCUGGCCCUAAACGAUGGAUACUUGGUGUAUGGGGUUCUUCGAGUCCCCGUGUGCCGGAGCUAACGCGUUAAGUAUCCCGCCUAGGGAGUACGGUCGCAAGGCUGAAACUCAANGGAAUUGACGGGGACCCGCACAAGCGGUGGAGCAUGUGGUUUNAAUUCGACGCAACGCGAAGAACCUUACCUGGGUUAAAUCCUACCUUGCUGCCCUAGAGAUAGGGAGUCCCUUCGGGGNAGGUAGGACGNUGCUGCAUGGCUGUCGUCAGCUCGUGCCGUGAGGUGUUGGGUUAAGUCCCGCAACGAGCGCAACCCUUAUCGAUAGUUGCCAGCAUUAAGUUGGGCACUCUAUAGAGACUGCCGGUGACAAACCGGAGGAAGGUGGGGACGCCGUCAAGUCAUCAUGGCCUUUAUGUCCAGGGCUACACACGUGCUACAAUGGCCGGUACAGAGCGCUGCGAAACGGCAACGUUGAGCCAAUCGCUAAAAGCCGGUCUCAGUUCGGAUUGCAGUCUGCAACUCGACUGCAUGAAGGUGGAAUCGCUAGUAAUCGCGG